rnacentral:rRNA from 1 species
UGGCGGACGGGUGAGUAACGCGUGGGGAACCUGCCUUGCACCGAGGGAUAACACUUAGAAAUAGGUGCUAAUACCGCAUAAGCGCACAGAGCCGCAUGGCUCGGUGUGAAAAACUCCGGUGGUGCAAGAUGGACCCGCGUCUGAUUAGCUGGUUGGCGGGGUAACGGCCCACCAAGGCGACGAUCAGUAGCCGGCCUGAGAGGGUGAACGGCCACAUUGGGACUGAGACACGGCCCAAACUCCUACGGAAGGCAGCAG